UACGUAGGGUGCGAGCGUUGUCCGGAUUUAUUGGGCGUAAAGGGCUCGUAGGCGGCGUGUCGCGUCGGGUGUGAAAGACCGGGGCUUAACCCCGGUUCUGCUUCCGGUACGGGCAUGCUGGAGUGUGGCAGGGGAGACUGGAAUUCCUGGUGUAGCGGUGAAAUGCGCAGAUAUCAGGAGGAACACCGGUGGCGAAGGCGGGUCUCUGGGCCGAUAUUGACGCUGAGGAGCGAAAGCGUGGGGAGCGAACAGG
rnacentral:rRNA from 1 species